UGUUAGCGGCGGACGGGUGAGUAACACGUGGAUAACCUACCUAUAAGACUGGGAUAACUUCGGGAAACCGGAGCUAAUACCGGAUAACAUUUGGAACCGCAUGGUUCUAAAGUGAAAGAUGGUUUUGCUAUCACUUAUAGAUGGACCCGCGCCGUAUUAGCUAGUUGGUAAGGUAACGGCUUACCAAGGCAACGAUACGUAGCCGACCUGAGAGGGUGAUCGGCCACACUGGAACUGAGACACGGUCCAG
rnacentral:rRNA from 1 species